AGUGAACGCUGGCGGUAGGCCUAACACAUGCAAGUCGAACGGCAGCACAGUAAGAGCUUGCUCUUACGGGUGGCGAGUGGCGGACGGGUGAGGAAUACAUCGGAAUCUACUUUUUCGUGGGGGAUAACGUAGGGAAACUUACGCUAAUACCGCAUACGACCUACGGGUGAAAGCAGGGGAUCUUCGGACCUUGCGCGAUUGAAUGAGACGAUGUCGGAUUAGCUAGUUGGCGGGGUAAAGGCCCACCAAGGCGACGAUCCGUAGCUGGUCUGAGAGGAUGAUCCACCACACUGGAACUGAGACACGGUCCAGACUCCUACGGGAGGCAGCAGUGGGGAAUAUUGGACAAUGGGCGCAAGCCUGAUCCAGCCAUACCGCGUGGGUGAAGAAGGCCUUCGGGUUGUAAAGCCCUUUUGUUGGGAAAGAAAAGCAGCAGGUUAAUACCCCGCUGUUCUGACGGUACCCAAAGAAUAAGCACCGGCUAACUUCGUG
rnacentral:rRNA from 1 species